ACAACUGGAACUAUGGGGGAACUAAGCCCGGUAUGUACAGUCUCUAGUAGCUUACGAAUAAAACAUGCUCAAUCGUUCUGCACCUGAAUCUAUGACAUUCAUUAAUUAAAACUUUGAAUAGAUGCAAGUCAUAUCUAAAGUUCUUGAUGAAAUCUUCAGGGGAUCUUACUUGAACCAUAUGAAAAAAUAUCCUGUUCUUUUGUUACAGGUUGUGAAAAUCGAUGGACGUGUGAUUGGUGACGGCAAAGUUGGACCGGUAACGAGAACACUGCAAAACGCUUACAAGAAACUGACAGAGGAUUCAGGUGUGCCAAUACCUACUUACCAAGAACCCUGAAAUACAAAACAAGAGGUAAUCAAAGUUGCUGAAUAGUCGUCUAUCUGAGAUAGUAUAUCAAAAAUUUUGGUUAUGAUUUAAUAAUAGCUUAGCAAAUGCAAGAGUAGAUUAAAAACCAUUUUAACUUUCACAUGAUUCAAGUGGGUCUUUAUACCGUUUAUUUAGGUUUUGAAACAGAGCCACGAGGGAACUUAAUAAUAAAAAGCAAUCAACUCUCACAUGAUUCAAUUGGUUUUGAGGAAAAAACAUGAAGCUUUUGCGUCAUCUUAAUUAAUAGAUUUCCUUUCAUGUAAGUAAAGAAGCUUUC
rnacentral:lncRNA from 1 species